rnacentral:snRNA from 1 species
AGCUUAGCCCAGUGGCAGUAUCAUAGCCAAUGAGGUUUAUCUGAGGCACAAUUAUUGCUAAUUGAAACAAAAAAAAAUCUCAAGGUCUGAAAACAGAUCUUAUGGCACAGCACCCAGAGCCGUCUG